UGGGUAGCUACGUGCGGACGGGAUAAGCGCUGAAAGCAUCUAAGCGUGAAGCCCCCCUCAAGAUGAGAUUUCCCAAUUAGUAAGACCCCUUGAAGACGACGAGGUAGAUAGGUUGGAGGUGGAAGUGCAGCAAUGCAUGGAGCUGACCAAUACUAAUCGGUCGAGGGCUUAUCCUA
rnacentral:rRNA from 1 species